rnacentral:rRNA from 1 species
AUUGAACGCUGGCGGCAUGCCUUACACAUGCAAGUCGAACGGUAACAGGUCUUCGGAUGCUGACGAGUGGCGAACGGGUGAGUAAUACAUCGGAACGUGCCUAGUAGUGGGGGAUAACUACUCGAAAGAGUGGCUAAUACCGCAUGAGAUCUACGGAUGAAAGCAGGGGAUCGCAAGACCUUGUGCUACUAGAGCGGCCGAUGGCAGAUUAGGUAGUUGGUGGGAUAAAAGCUUACCAAGCAGACGAUCUGUAGCUGGUCUGAGAGGACGAUCAGCCAACGUGGGACUGAGACACGGGCGAGACUCCUACGGGAGGCAGCAGUGGGGAAUUUUGGACAAUGGGCGCAAGCCUUAUCCAGCAAUGCCGCGUGCAGGAUGAAGGCCUUCGGGUUGUAAACUGCUUUUGUACGGAACGAAAAGCCCCGGGUUAAUACCCUGGGGUCAUGACGGUACCGUAAGAAUAAGCACCGGCUAACUACGUGCCAGCCGCCGCCGUAA